rnacentral:rRNA from 1 species
ACGCUGGCGGCGUGCUUACACAUGCAAGUCGAACGAUGAUGCUCCAGCUUUGUUGGGGUGGAUUAGUGGCGAACGGGUGAGUAACACGUGAGUAACCUGCCCUCUUCUUUGGGAUAACGGUCGGAAACGGCUGCUAAUACUGGAUAUUCACUCAUUGGCGCAUGUUGGUGGGUGGAAAGGUUUUUUCUGGUGGGGGAUGGGCUCGCGGCCUAUCAGCUUGUUGGUGGGGUGAUGGCCUACCAAGGCUUUGACGGGUAACCGGCCUGAGAGGGUGACCGGUCACAUUGGGACUGAGAUACGGCCCAGACUCCUACGGGAGGCAGCAGUGGGGAAUUUUGCACAAUGGGCGCAAGCCUGAUGCAGCGACGCCGCGUGAGGGAUGAAGGCCUUCGGGUUGUAAACCUUUUUCGCUCAUGGUCAAGCCGCAGCUUUGGGUUGUGGUGAGGGUAGUGGGAAAGAAGCGCCGCUAC